AGCUCUGCACAAGGGCAGGAGAGACACUCAGGCCACCCCAAAACAGUGACCACCCCAGACACACAGCCAUCCCAAGACAGUGACCACUCCAGACACACAGACAUCCCAAGACAGUGACCACCCCAGACACACAGCCAUCCCAAGACAGUGACCACCCCAGACACACAGACAUCCCAAGACAGUGACCACCCCAGACACACAGACAUCCCAAGACAGUGACCACCCCAGACACACAGACAUCCCAAGACAGUGACCACCCCAGACACACAGACAUCCCAAGACAGUGACCACCCCUGAUACACAGCCACCCCAAGACAGUGACCACCCCUGAUACACAGCCACCCCAAGACAGUGACCACCCCUGAUACACAGCCACCCCAAGACAGUGACCACCCCUGAUACACAGCCACCCCAAGACAGUGACCACCCCUGAUACACAGCCACCCCAAGACAGUGACCACCCCUGAUACACAGCCACCCCAAGACAGUGACCACCCCUGAUACACAGCCAUCCCAAGACAGCGACCACCCCUGAUACACAGCCAUCCCAAGACAGCGACCACCCAGACACACAGCCACCCCAAGACAGCGACCACCCAGACACACAGCCACCCCAAGACAGCAACCACUGCAGAUACACAGCCCAGCCGCCCAAGACAGCAACCAUCCCAGACAUAUAGCUAUCUCAAGACAGUGCCCUCCCCCCCAUUUCCAGUCACCCUUCAGAAACUGCUCUGAAGUAAAGGCCAUCGUGUCUGAGAGGGAGGGGCUGAGGAAGCAGUAUGUAUUUUACAAAGCCAAUAAGGGACUAACACAGGAGGUGUAGGGUCACGGCCAACUGUGGCUUGUCACCUGCCUCUUCCUGCCCUGACACUCAGCACAUCUGUGUCUCCCAUAGGAUGGGUUCUGGGAUUCACAAGAAGGGACAGUGAAUCUCAUCCCUUUUGUGUGCUUCUAGUUUGCACCUAAAGGGAGUUACUGUGUCAGCUCCAGCUGAGGGGGAAGAACAGACAGACAUGGUUGCUUUCGUCCUCUGGACUAAAAGUACUGUUCUAAGUUAUCUUUGAGCUCUGGGGGCCUCACAGGAAAGACCCAGAGUCCAGAUGGAGGAUGGAGAGGAAGAAUAAAAUGGAUUCUUCUGCCAUGACCCACUUCCACAGGGGAGACAGAGGGGUAAGACAGGGGCAGGGAGAGGUACGAGAACAACCCCUCCCAAGACCAGCGACCCAAUUAAGGGCUUGUUGGGGCUGGGCAACUAGGCCACAAAGACCCCUUUGUCCAAGUGCCCACUCCUCCCCAGAAGAGAACAGCUCAAAGGAUAAGGUGUUUAGGGCACUAAGUCUGCCAGAAGAGGCUGGGAUAGGGAGGCGGGACUCUGUUAUUCCUUCUGCUCUUCUCUGACCAGAAAGCCCAAAUUUACCACCGUCAUUGUCUUUUGCCAAGGAAGAAAAUGUUGUCUGCUGUGGAAGAUCUAGUCUUGGUGUGUGUGUGGGUGGGGGGAUUCAGGGUCGAGUUAUUUUGUUUGUUUGUUUCUGUUACUGAAAAAUAUUCCACAAGGAAGCGAACCUGAGCACGACUGUUGGCUAAGAUUGGACAUGGGGCUGAACUUAAUUUCUGCAUCUCCUUCCAAGAUCUCCAGAUGAAAUCAACCAAAAGAAAGGAGGGGGGAAAAAUCCCCCACAAAUUCCCUUGCUCCAUAGUCCAUGCCAGAGUGAAAGGAUCCAGAUGUGCCUCCUCCCACAGGCAGAUGUUUUCUGACAUGUGCAUGACAUAUGACGCUUGCCACACCCCGACUUCCAUAACUGCUUUCCUCAAGGCCUGUCAGACAUGGCUCGCUCCAGGCCCAGAGCCCAGGGCAGAAGAAGAAGAGGCUACUAUUUCUCUAAGAGCCAGGCCUGAAGCUUUGUCACCACCCAUAUCAUGGUUCCUCUCAAACUGCUACCACAGCUAAGAGAGACUGAUGAGCGCAGAGCUGUGUCUACAAGAGAGCCAGUUCAUGCACCAGCACCAGCCUUCUGCAGCUCUCCAACGCUGUGAGUGCACCAAAUUAAAACCACUUAUAAAUAUAUACUAGUUUUUUGAUCCAUCAGAAGAGGGCAAAAGAUCUCUAAUAGUUUCAUCCACAGAAUAUUCAUAUAGUGAAAACAAUAUUUUGAGCGCCUUCGGUGAAAGCAUUCAAACUAACCUUAGCAGUUUGCUUUUUUUUUUUCCCCCCAGCGUGGCUACUUGGAAAUUUCAGAACUGUGUAUGUGACUUAUACCUUAUUUCAAUACAGUAUUAUUCUAGACUUGCAACCCAGAGCAAAGAUCUAACGAAAGGAUCUGGAGAUGUCAAAAGCUGUGGCCUACUAACCACAUCCCUCUUAAUUGUCACGGUUGCUGGCUGGAGGGAUGAGAGGUUAAGACAAUGAUCCCAACAGGUAAGGGUAUAUGAGAGGGUGUGUAUGGGGGCAGAGCCUGACAGGCACUGCUCGUGCAGGGAGUGGCUCGUGGGCAAGAAGUUCCCAUAACAUCUUGUGACCCUGCCUGGAUUUAUAUGUACCCCUGCCAGUCUGUGUGUUCAGGCAUCUGUCAGAGUGUUUCUGCAGCCACUCCUGGGAGUGUAUAGCAUCUGCAUGGGUUAUACAAACCUGUCGGCGUCUUUGUCUGGUGGGUGGGCCAGGUGGGGCUAUGUGUUAUCUGCUAUGCUCCAGGAGAACGCAUGUGUGUGAACACACAUGUGGGGAACUAUCUGAGAUGGGAUUUGUAUCAAACUGAAAGAAGGAUGAACAAGAGUGUGACCCAGCCCUUCUCUGUGGCUUUCUGUCCUUCCGCCACACAGGCAAGGGUCAAACACGUGGAGAGGAAGUAGUGUCUACUCCUCCAGGCAGGAUGCAGGGGUGAGGAAGAAAACAGGUGGCUUCAUUUCCACCCUUCACCUUCAACCUUUGAUGACCAUGGUUGGAAGUAUGGGGAAAGGGUACAGAUAGGACCAGAGCCAGAUGAAGUCCAGAGCAUGCUAAGACCUUGGCCAGGAUUGGCCAUGUAUGGAAGAUACUGGGGGUGGAGACCCCAGUACUCUAGAGUCCUGGCAGCAAGUCCUCCACCCCAUAAACCCCUCCCCAUCCUGGCCACUGGCAGGGUGAAGGCUGGGUGGGGACCUUUCUCCCAGUUUAAACAGCUGCCUCUGAUUACACCACUUAUUGGGGGCAGGCGAGGGCAGGGUGUCAGGAAGGGUACAGGGGUGGGGCUUCUGGUACAGGGACUGAGUAAGGCCAAUGGCCUUUGGCCUGGGACUAAGGGUAGCAGGGUACCUGGCAAGACCUGAAGGCCACUCAUUGAGCACCAGCCAGAGAAGUUUCAAAGUGGGGAAGAAGAAAAUGCUCAAAGAAAAGUGUGGCUCAGUUAUCUCCUCAUGACAAAGGUGCAUCCCAGAGGAUACUGUCCCCAACAGCCUUGGGGACAUGGGAGCCAAAGGAGAAAUCCAGGGUGCUGCUGUUACGCAUGCCAGGGACUGUGUGGGUACUCUGAAGAAGCAGGGAUACUUUUAGCUGUGUCCUAGGUACAAGUACAGAGCAAGCCCCAUGCUAGGCUAGAGACGGCUGCUCUCAUCUGGAGAGAGCAGCCAGGGAAGAUACUCACAGAUCUCGGGGGCUUCAUCAGAGCCGUCCGGACAAUCUCUUUCCCCGUCACACCGCCAGCCCUUCGAGAUACAGGUGAUUUGGUCUCUGCAGGCAAACUGCUUAGGGCUGCAAGUUUUAGGGGCUGAAGGCAAGGAAAGAAAGGGUAACUGUAAAGGAGGGAACUCUCUCUUGGACCCUGGAGCUUCCUAAGGCUCGUUCUCCUCCAGCAUCAAUCCUCCAUACUGUGGACCUGGAACAAUGGAGGAGCCAAAAGGACCUUAUCAUCCCUUUCCAAGUUUCCUAGGUUGUCUGUUCAGCAGGCCCCUGUAGCUCCUUGCUGUUUGUCACCCCACCAGACACCAGCACCCCUCACUCUGCUAGGGAUGAUGGUGGGACAGGGCAGAGACCUUCACUGUGCUCUUUCUCUGUCUCUUCUUAAUCCCGUCCAGCUGGCCUUUCUUAACCUCUGACCUCAGGAUGCUACUGACCUCUUGAUCUAUAUCACCCAGCUCCUACCUCUUACCGCUGGACCCCUUGGCCCACAGUGUGGCUUGGAGAUGUUAUCUGCAGAGGACACCUGGGCAGAAACUUCAGCUUCCACAAGACACAAGACCACAAGUAGGACUUUUAGGGGAGUUCUCUGGAUAAGAAGGACCUAAAGCUCAUUACCAGCAGAGGCAGGGUGCUGGUUGGCUUGAUCUCUAGAAACUAACUGUGGUACCCCUCACCUGUGGAGUGAUUUAUAUCCAUGGGAACCACCUGGCUCUAAUCCCUCUCAUCCCCCCUCCUACCCUCAUGAGGAGCUCCACCAGAGACAGCGGGCAGUACUGUGAUCAGCAUGAGUGUAGCAGACAGUGAUAAACUAGCUUUUUCCA